rnacentral:lncRNA from 1 species
GAACAGCAUCAAAAUCUCGCGAGAACGGGAUCCAAGAAUACCGCGAAAAGAGAAGCAGGAACUGAAUAUGAUAAACAAGCACGAGCACGAGCUGAAUUAACCACCACAGGACUGAUUCAAAGGAUAUAAUUAUGUAGUGCUGUGAAGAACCAGCAGAAGGCAGCAAUGCAACUAUUGGAUGCAAGCUGCCAUUAAACCGCACAGAAGAAGAAGAAGAAGAAGAAGGAACUGAAUUUUCACCUGGGUGACAUACACAAGAACUCUGAUUGCAAUUCCAUUAAGUAAUUAUCAUAAAUGUUCUUCCUUGAGCUGUGUAACACUUCUGCACUCGGUGAUUGACUCGUCAGGGCUCCCCCACAAACAAGCGGCUGCUGGAGGAGAGUGGGUGAGUUGUGUUUGGUCUCUUUGCUAAAGAAAUCGGGCAAAACUAAAAAGAUGUGUGAUGACUACUGUGGCUGGGACCCUAUAUAUCCUGUUGAUGAAGUUAGGUGCUGUUCUUAUUUGUGGCUAUAUAGUGGUGUUUUGGUUGAGGUUUGCAUGUGGAGACAUAGACUGCUGUGUAUUGCUAUUGUGCGGUCUUUGCUGAAGUUGGUGGAACUAGAGAGGCAAGCAGUCGGCAACGUUCAUCUCUUAAGGGGGUGUCAAAUUUGGUGUUAUGGUGUUUGACCAUAAUCUAUAUUUGUGCUGGAGUAUCCCAUUCAGCAGCUCUCUUGCUCUGUUAAUGCUGGACCAAGCAGACUCCAUUUCUUUUAAAUUUGUGACUGGCUGCCUUUUGUGCCAUGCUGUUUAGCAUCAUUGAUCCCAUGGCUGGUUGUUUCAUCUUUUUUUCUUAUUUAUGACAUAGUUCACUUCGGCUUGGUGAGUCAGUGUUCUCUAUGGGAUGUAUUUGACUGUUCCCAGGCACUAAAGCCUUAUUGACAACAUCGAUCUCAGGAAUCAUCUUGUACAAUUAAUACAAAUUAGACUACUAUUACUUUGUUGUUUGUGGAUCUUAAUAACUCUGUUAUUCCAGGUGCACCAGUCUAGACUGGUUAAAAAUAAGCUGAGUCCAUGACAGCGUUUUUGUGAUUGUUCCACAGUGCACCUAACCUGAAGGGAGGAGGACAUUAAGAUGGGAUGAGGAAGCCUGGAAUAAUUCAAGACAACUGGAAUAAUGAGCUUAAUUACUUCCUGCCCAGCCAUGACUGUGUUUGUUUGUUUUUUCCAUCACACCACCAGUUGAAUACAACUUUCUCCAUGCAACACAUUCUAGUAUUUGUUGCUUUUGCACAAUUUGGUCGACUCCAGCUGCAGCUUGUUGCUGCUGUUUUAACAGCACACAAUUUUUGGCCAGCUUGCUUCCUAAUGGCAUCUGCUCAGCUGAUGUUACCAGUGAUUCAUCCCCCUCCCUGGGAGUUGAACGAUCGAAAUUUGUAGCUAGUUGUCAGCAGGAAGCCAGAUGGCACCCUGGUUGACUUGUUUGCUAAUGGCCAAGAUGAAUUGAAUUUAGGCUACUCUCUGAAUUGGAAGGUUGAACAAGGAUAGUCCAGUUGGAUACCCAAUGCCAACUGGUGGUUCCACCUUUUGUUUAAACUCUAAUGCAGGUAAAGUUUGUCUUGGAUACAAUAUAAAUGGAUUGUUUUACUAAACCCUGAUAUUACUGUGCAGAAAUAGAGUCCAGAAACCAGUCUAAAUCAACUACAUGCUGCAAAAUAAACACAUUUCAGCUCAGUUUUGGAUCUCAUUGCUU